GCCUCUUGCACACACAUAAGAGGUCCAGCCUGCCCAGUGACUAAAUUCAACGGCCGCGGUAUCCUAACCGUGCGAAGGUAGCGUAAUCACUUGUUCUUUAAAUGAGGACUAGUAUGAAUGGCACCACGAGGGUUAUACUGUCUCCUUUUUCUAAUCAAUGAAACUGAUCUCCCCGUGAAGAAGCGGGGAUAAAAUUAUUAGACGAGAAGACCCUAUGGAGCUUCAAACAAUAUAGCAACGGCUUAUUUACCAAUGUAAUUUCAGAAUACUUACGCUUAUCCUAGCCUUUUUGACUAUCAGUUUUGGGUUGGGGUGACCAUGGAGCAAAACGUAACCUCCAUGCUGAAUAGACCUCCUCUUGAGCCAAAAGCCACAACUUUAAGCACCAAUAAACUGACAUAAGUUGACCCAAUAUUUUGAGCAACGAACCAAGUUACCCUAGGGAUAACAGCGCAAUCCACUUCAAGAGCCCCUAUCGACAAGUGGGUUUACGACCUCGAUGUUGGAUCAGGGUAUCCCAGUGGUGCAGCCGCUACUAAAGGUUCGUUUGUUCAACGAUUAAAACCCUA
rnacentral:rRNA from 1 species